GUCUUCAUAGUCUAGGGGUUAAGACGUCGCCCUUUCACGGCGAAAACACGAGUUCAAAUCUCGUUGGAGAUA
rnacentral:tRNA from 1 species